CACCGCCCGGUCCGGCCCCAGCGCUGCGGAAGCGGGGAGCGGGGAGCGGGGCACUCUGGACCUGCUAGUUGUUUUCUGCUAUGAUUGGACUUAGCACAUGAAGAAGAAAGAUCCUAAAUUCAUGCCAGCAGCAUGCAAGCUGGUGACUUCUGUUAUGGUAAUGCAGUGCAGAUAACUCUGUGUGAUCCAGCCUAUCCUUGCUCAUCUCACAUGGAUAUGUUCUUGCUGCCACCCUCUGUUGCUACCCACAACAGUUUCUCAGGGGAGAAUGAUCCCAUCAGUCCCAGGAGAAAUCUGCCACUGAGAAAGGACUAAUCUCUCCUGGAGGGCUGGGGAAUUUUUUUUUAGGAUGAAUCUACACUGCUGAGUCCAUAGGCAGAAAUGCAGUGCAGGUGCAGUCCCAAAUGGAUUGUGAAGCAGCAAGUGCAGGUGAAGGACUUGUGUGUCACCCUGCACUGCAUGUGCCGUGAACUGCCUUGCACUUUAGAGUGACCUCGGUGGUCUGUGAGUCAUUCCUCUUCUACUGCUCAUUUGUCUGCAGGAUUCAUUUCUCUGUAGCUGGUCCCAUUUCAUUGAAGAAGCAUGAGAAAAAAGAUACUGCAAUUCUGCAUUUAAAGAAUUGGUUCUUCUAACACUGAAUAAAUCCCUCAACUUAAAACCACUGUAAACCUUUUUCUUAUAACCAGGCUUUACUUCUUCUACAGGGAUGGACAGAAUUGGAGCUGGGAGAUCCAGGAACACAAUGCAGACUGAUUUUGCCUGCUGGUGAUGGAUGUGUAUAGAGUGGGAAAUAGCCAGCAUGAAGCUUGAACUGUGCUCCUUUCCUCCCCCAUAGGUCAGUCCAUGUUGCCAUGAAAUCAUGACCCAGACAUUUCCUUCUUUUAGAAUUAACGUUUUUAUUAACCUUCCCAAAAAACCCUCACCAAACCCCAACUUCCAGGGCACAAAAGCACCUAGAGAAGAUGCUGGUGCUCUUCAGCCAAACAAUACUGUGUGCAAAUUAUUAGGCCAGAAAUUUGCACAAUAAAGCAUGCCCAUCUUCAAGCAACUGGCUUUGUGUCUGUCACCUCUUCUAAGGUGACACUGAAAAAGCAGAUCAAAAGAGAAAGAAAAAGAUCUCUUCUUCUUACAAAUGAGUGUCAUUAUUCUUCAAAGCAAGGGAGGAGUGUGGGACUUUAUCACCACAAACGUACCACACUAACAUGGACACCCUUUCAGAGGAACAGCUCAUCCAGGAGAACAUACUGUACAUCCAGUUGCAGCCAAACAAUUCCAGCCUCAUUACAUAUCUUCAGGAAGCAUGAAUCCAAUGCAACCAAGACAGGGAUCUGGAUUUUUCCAGUAGCCUUCUGUCAAGAGAUAAAGCUCCACUUUUAAAGUGCAACGUCUUUUCUUUAACGUGUAUUUUCAUCUCCUGACAAUAGUUUGUUUAUUUAGUGUAUGUAAGAGACCACUUGCAGUCCAAAUUACUUGCUACUGCAGUCCAAAACCCCCACACGUUUCUUUUACUUCCAUUUAUUUUACAAAGCUUUCCUUAGGAAUAUAAUUUUUGAGGAAUGAGCAUUAUUUCUUCUAGAAUACUUCUGAAGCUGAAAGCAAAUUCCAGUUUGUUAAUGCAACUUCUAGUUUUUUAAUGCUCUUAAACAGAGUAAAAUGCAUUGCCUCACUAAAAUGUGUAGUACUGUUUAUUGGGAUUUACUACAUUCUAUUUCAAAUUAGUUUCUGUCCCAAGUGGUGCCCUCUCCAAUGCUGGCCUUCUUUGUAAUAAACCCUAUUUGUGCUCA